rnacentral:lncRNA from 1 species
CAAGUCUAGUUUCCAACAAAUCAAACGGCACAUGAUUCGGAGCUUGCUAGAGAAAGAUAUCACGAAUUAAAGUUGAAUCCGAUUCGAGUCCGAGCUGUCAGGAGACCCGAAUUUGUUUUAAUCACCCAGGCCGCAUCCUGAGUCCAAAUCAAGCAUACAAGUACUUGUUGGAAAGGUAAUUACAAGACCUUUCCAACGCAUCCGGCCCCACCAGAAGAUUCGAUGCGAGCUGACCGUGACGGACAAAACAAGUUGACGGAUCUGUUUUUCAGUUUCCUAAAGAGUAGUUGAUUUGGCAGGAAACUUAGAGACAGAGUUGUAUUUCGGCCCCAUGCCUAACUUGGCCAAAAAUCCAUCUUUCUCCUCCUUUAUAUACCCCACGAGCCCCCCUAAGGUACUUGUUGGAAUCCAUCCGGAGUCCAAAUCAAGCAAACAAGUACUUGUUGGAAAGGUAAUUACAAAACCUUUCCAAUGGAUCUGGC